AGAAUCAACGCUGGCGGCGUGCCUAACACAUGCAAGUCGAACGAGAAAGUGGAGCAAUCCAUGAGUAAAGUGGCGCACGGGUGAGUAACACGUGACUAACCUACCCUUGAGUGGGGGAUAACCUAGAGAAAUCUGGGCUAAUACCGCAUAAUACCUUCGGGUCAAAGGAGCAAUUCGCUUAAGGAGGGGGUCGCGGCCGAUUAGUUAGUUGGCGGGGUAAUGGCCCACCAAGACUAUGAUCGGUAUCCGGCCUGAGAGGGCGCACGGACACACUGGAACUGAAACACGGUCCAGACUCCUACGGGAGGCAGCAGUGGGAUUUUGCGCAAUGGGGGAAACCCUGACGCAGCAACGCCGCGUGGAGGAUGAAGUCCCUUGGGACGUAAACUCCUUUCGAUCGGGACGAUAAUGACGGUACCGAGAGAAGAAGCCCCGGCUAACUUCGUGCCAGCAGCCGC
rnacentral:rRNA from 1 species